rnacentral:tRNA from 2 species
GCCUCGGUGGUGUAGUCCGGCCAAUCAUCCAGCACUUUCGAUGCUGGGACCCGGGUUCAAAUCCCGGCCGAGGCA